AUACGUAGGGUGCAAGCGUUAAUCGGAAUUACUGGGCGUAAAGCGUGCGCAGGCGGUUUUGUAAGACAGUGGUGAAAUCCCCGGGCUCAACCUGGGAACUGCCAUUGUGACUGCAAGGCUGGAGUGCGGCAGAGGGGGAUGGAAUUCCGCGUGUAGCAGUGAAAUGCGUAGAUAUGCGGAGGAACACCGAUGGCGAAGGCAAUCCCCUGGGCCUGCACUGACGCUCAUGCACGAAAGCGUGGGGAGCAAACAGGAUUAGAUACCCUGUUAGUCCACGCCCUAAACGAUGUCAACUGGUUGUUGGGGAUUUAUUUUCUCAGUAACGAAGCUAACGCGUGAAGUUGACCGCCUGGGGAGUACGGCCGCAAGGUUAAAACUCAAAUGAAUUGACGGGG
rnacentral:rRNA from 1 species